rnacentral:rRNA from 1 species
GGGACCCGUCUUGAAACACGGACCAAGGAGUCUAGCAUGUGCGCGAGUCAUUGGGAUUUUUACUAAACCUAAAGGCGCAAUGAAAGUGAAGGUCCGCCUUGCGCGGACCGAGGGAGGAUGGACCGUUCCGAGGGACGGCCUCGCACUCCCGGGGCGUCUCGCUCUCAUCGCGAGAAGAGGCGCACCCAGAGCGUACACGCUGGGACCCGAAAGAUGGUGAACUAUGCCUGGUCAGGACGAAGUCAGGGGAAACCCUGAUGGAGGUCCGUAGCGAUUCUGACGUGCAAAUCGAUCGUCGGAACUGGGUAUAGGGGCGAAAGACUAAUCGAACCAUCUAGUAGCUGGUUCCCUCCGAAGUUUCCCUCAGGAUAGCUGGCGCUCGCUUCUCGCGAGUCUCAUUCGGUAAAGCGAAUGAUUAGAGGCAUUGGGGUCGAAACGGCCUCAACCUAUUCUCAAACUUUAAAUGGGUGAGAUCUCCGGCUUGCUUGAACUGUGAAGCCGCGAGAUAUCGGAUCAGAGUGCCAAGUGGGCCACUUUUGGUAAGCAGAACUGGCGCUGUGGGAUGAACCAAACGCUGAGUUAAAGCGCCUAAAUCGACGCUUAUGGGAUACCAUGAAAGGCGUUGGUAACUUAAGACAGCAGGACGGUGGCCA